rnacentral:rRNA from 1 species
GACCGCGUAUGAAAGUACGUUUCACCCUCGGGUGACAGGGAGACAGGUGGUGCAUGGUUGUCGUCAGCUCGUGUCGUGAGAUGUUGGGUUAAGUCCCGCAACGAGCGCAACCCCUACGUUUAGUUGCUAACGCGUGAAGGCGAGCACUCUAGACGAACUGCCGUUGACAAACGGAGGAAGGUGGGGAUGACGUCAAAUCAUCAUGCCCCUUAUGUUCUGGGCUACACACGUGCUACAAUGGCCGGUACAGACGGACGCAAAGCCGCGAGGUGGAGCAAAUCCUAAAAAGCCGGUCUCAGUUCGGAUUGCAGGCUGCAAUUCGCCUGCAUGAAGUCGGAAUCGCUAGUAAUCGCAGGUCAGCAUACUGCGGUGAAUACGUUCCCGGGCCUU